UCAGCUCAGUGCAGCGUGAGACACUCAUCGUGGCCGAGAGAAGGGAAAGAUCCAAAGCGCGGCUACAUUUUACUCUCGCUGUCACAGAUGCAAUAAAAGCCCCACGAGGAGGGAAGGAAACAGCAGCAGCGCAUCACAACAUGUCAGGAGCUUUCCCUCCGUUUGGCAACAGACGUUGGCGAGUUUGCCAUUAAGAGUGGACUCCUCAACGGAAGCUAAGCUAAUUCUUUAGCUGUCUCUGCAUGUUGAUUCAUUUUCAAUGAAUGGGGGGGGUCUUGCAAAAUGCUGAAAACAAAGCGGUGAGAAGAUCGAUAAGGCACCAAACGGAAAAGCAGUAUGUGUAAUAGUAGCGAUUAAAAACCCUUAUGGCCAUUCAACGGAUGAAAUACCUAGUGGACGUGUUUUGAUGGAGUGCAUAUUUUGAACGCCUGGUUUCGGCCUCGUGGUUAACACUUGAGAUUUAUGGUCUUGUCACACGUCAUCAUGACCAGAAUAGAUCUCUCUCCACUGAUUGAGCUUGACUGACUGCUGAGCACAGCAGGCAGAAACUGCACACCUGAUUACAUCAAACUGGGCACAGAAAUCGCCACAGGAAGUAUGUCCGCUGAAAGGACCUGUCAAUUUAUCAAUAUUGACGUCCUUCCGCCAGAAACCAGUGUGUUCACUAGACCGUAGUCCAGUGUCUUGGCACCGUUGCCACGCUACAGUUUCUGUAGAUUACCUGAUGCACACGCCAUUUAUAAAUGGUGGACUGGUCACCAACCAGCUGGUAGAAACAAAGGGGGCAGUUACUAUGAAGGUGAAGCAGCAGAAAUCAACAGGAAGCAGUAAAAUCGUAACUUUUACUCCCAAUCCCAAUACACAUUUCCUACAUGCAAAGGACAGUCAUAUCUAACAUCUUGCUGCAGAAGCAUGCAUCAUAGUUAAUCAACCUUAAUCACCUGAUAUCAGGGUAUCAGAUACCUAUAUAAAGUAAGAUACAAUAAGGCUGGCUUAUGAUAAGGGUUUGCAAACAGCCAGUUUGAGAAUUCCUACCAUGCCUCUAACAAGUCUACUCCAACCUUGCUGUGCUUCACUUUAUUAGCAUCAGUCCGUGCCGGAGUACUGCGGUGUUGUGAUAAUGUUUGCCAAAGGCUUUGGCCUGCAACUGCAUCAAGACAAAGAUAUAUUCACUCAGUGUUUCGGGAAAAGGAAAUAUUUCAUGUGGGCUGUGUAUCCUUAAUCUACUGUCACUCAGUAACAUAUGCUAAUGCCUGCAGGAAUCUCAAAAGGUCAAAAUUAAUACAAUAUCAAAUUAUUAUAGUAUUGCAUAGUAACAGUUAUAGCAUUAUUUUAUUUUUAGAAUUAGUCACAUAACUGGUUGGCACCCAAAGUAACAGAACGCAUUACUUUCAAAACUGCUAAUGAGUCAUUUCCUUUUUUUAGAGCCAGAGAUGUGCAUGUGAAGUGAAGAGAGAGGCCCUGAGGUCACAUGCACGCUGCCGUGUACCCUGUGCAGCGUAGACUCUUGAUAUUUCACAGCUGCAUUCAUGAGAUCAUACAAAGACGGUGAAGAGAAUCGAGAAUCAUCUGAAGCAAGGCCAAGGAGAAAGGGAGGUUACAGCUCACUUGGCAUUUCAUGUUCAUUGUUUUUCAUUAUCUAUCUUUUUUUUUGCCGAAAAACUUAAGUUUCGUUAAGAAUUUUCCUUCAAAGAUUGAGAAUUCCCACUGUUGGGUUCACCUGCAUUCCAGAUAACAUUUGCAUGACUGCACCAUUAAUAAUUGUGUGCAAUAGAGACAUAGUGAAGCUGUCGAAACUCGCAGUACUUAACCCUUGUGCAUCGUUAAUCUUGCACAUGUGAUAUUUGACAACUCAUAAUUUAUGCUGCUAAAUCCACAACAAUUAUGUUAUCAAUGCAGUGUGUUUGUGCACAAUUAUGUUACCCCUGAAACUGAUUUUCUCGGUAUAAUAUUCACAAAUGAAAAGCACACACAUUGUAGGCUGUGUCUUUUAAGCUACUAUUAUUUAACCAUAUAUCAGAUGCAGAUACAUUUAAUGGUUGAGGUUUGUGUUUAAAUUCUUUGACAUGUAUGAGAAAUGCAUUCAGUUUACAAGCCAACAGGUUAACAUUUUUUCAAUAAAUCAGAAUAACAGGGCGGGAGAAAAGGCUUUAGUUGACAACUGACGGAUCACUCACUUUUAUUUAGUUACCCUAAAUGUCACAUGCCGUAAAAUGAAAAAAAUAAAUAAAAUAAAACCAUCAAAUAAUAUAUUAGCAGACAUUAGGCCCACAAAAAAGCAAUACAUUAGGAUUUAAUAAUUAGGACCUUUUGUAUGAAGCAGCAGGAAUCAAUAUACUCUUGAGGUAUAUUAACAACAACACUAACAAUGGAUGCAAUUCCAAAUGUGAAAGGGAGCAUCUAGCAGCUGAAGCACAUCAAUGUCCCUGAAGAGCUGGUGGGGACCAAAAGCGGAGCUAAAAGGAGAGUGAAAAUGGUACUUACACGACACAGAAGACUAAAUACACGCUUGCGUUGCUCCAUAUCGGCUCCAUGUCCAAGUAGGCCAAUGUUCCGCUAACACCGCGCUGUUCCGUUUACGGCUUGUUUCUGCUGCCCCCUAAUGGCCACUGACACUAAAUGCAGGGGAAAGAAAACACUUCUGGUUGAUUCUUCAUUGUUGUAUUUCUAGUUUCCUCAUCCACCACCUGCUCUAUGCCAAGGAGACGGAUUUACUAUCAGUGGAUAGGAAAGUGCUUUAGGAUUGUGUUACUCUUCCCCUCCGAAUCAAUCCAAAGUUGCUAUAAAGCUAUAAAUUAAACUGAUUUAGUCAAUUAUGAUAUGAGAAUAAUUAGUUCAUUAAUAAUGUUGAAUUAUUAUUAACUAAUAGAUAUUGAUAGUUAAUCAAUAUCAGAGUUCAAGAACUGAUCGUCAUUCAAGCUGCACACACUUGUUUGCAAGCUUUUUAUGCUUCAAGGACAUGACAGGAUUUUUAAUCGGAAAAUAAUUGUGCAGUCCUGAUUUUUCUUUACCCUCUCCCUCUCUGUCUCUUGGUCUUCGCAUUUCAUUUUUCAACAGCAAAUCCCCGCCAGCCUCAUCACCAUGGCAACCAGAAGCCGAAGAGACUAUCUAGCUUUGUGCCAUCGUAGCUUCUGCGCAACUUUGAUUGGGUGGGAAUGAUCUGCAUAGAGGCAGGAGAGCUUGAAUUGUGCUUUGCGCCAUAAAACGGGAUCCAACAAACCAAACUGACUUUCUGUUUGCUCUUAUCAGCUGGUGUUUCGUCUCAAGGGUUUAUAUAUGUCGAACCAGCCAAGUGGAGAGGGAUGUAGAUUGGGGCUGAGGAGAGAUCACAAGGUGCGAUCGAUCGUUUGUAGAGCCCGGGGAGAGAUGGGACGGGGUGGAUCUGGUGUAUGUUUAAGAAGAGAACUCUUCCCCGUCAGGGUUUCAAGAGACAAAGCGCUGUCUGCGGCACGGAGAGAUAAAAAGCAGCUGGUGCUUUAUUUAUCAGGAGGGAGGGAGGCCGCUGUGCGCCUGUCAAUCCAUCAAGACGGCUGUCAGCUUUCUUGUCUUUUUUUUCUGCUGCAGCGCUGGUGCUCAACAGGCAGGAAAUCCAGCCAUUAACAGGAUUUACUGAUGGCCAAUAGACUGCACUGAUCCAAACGACCUCCCUGUGUGGCCCUCUGUUCUCUGGGGACGGUCCUGUGGAAGAACUUCUCACGGGUCCUGCUUUGAGCCCCGUCUUGAAGGUGGAUCUCUAGUUCUCUUCUACUCUUCAUGUUAGUUUGCGCUGUGCUUGUGUGCUAAAGUGUUUUUGUGUUAAAAACGUUUUUAACUCAUUUGACUCACUGGCAGAUAUGCGGUUUAAAAAAAAAAGAAUUGAUCAGCAUGCUGAAACGUUUCUGAAUCACUUGUGAUGUAAGAUGUAACUAUACAUACAAAUACAGUAUAAAACCUGAUGCACUUCAGUGUUUCAUUUUGUCGAGACAAAAGAUAUAAAGCCAUUCUUGAAAUGUCCAUUAUGAUUUUUUUUUUAUUGUGAGAGAAAUGUGACUUGCCAUCACCCCGUAGGUGAGAAUGAAACAUAAAUAAAACACUUACAAAAUGUCACAAUAGAUCACAAAUGACA